UUCAAAUGCUCACACAAUUCUGAAAUAAUUGCAACAUUCCGAAGAAAAUGAAAAUGGCAGAAUCAUAGAAUGAGAGUGUGUGCAAGAAAAAUGAAUGCUAUGUGACACCGUGAAACAAGCUGUAAGAACAUGACCAUGAAACCUAAAACUCUUCACACUGAAUCUUAAAAUUUAAUCGUGGAUAAUUUUCUAUUCUCAGUAAGAAAAAUAAAACCUAGGCCGGCCUCCCAAUUGACCCGGACAGCCCAAUUGACCAUAAAUGAGGACUUACAUAUUGGUCUCCCUAAAAGACAAGUCUGCUACUGAAAUUAAUGUGGUCAAAGUCUUACUUGCAUUUUGGAGUAGUAAAAUUAUUCAAUUAUUCAAGUAUGUUGCAAAGGAGCAAUCCCCUUAAAUUGGUGAAAAAGGUUGGUAGGACUCAUUCGUUUAGGGUAUUAUUAACCCUAUCCCACAGUGAUAUAUGUUGGACAUGAUGAUUGUGCAAUAUAAUUAUUAAGAUAAUUCCACAGAACCACAAGGAACUAACUACACCAAAGCUCUCAAGAAAAUAGUUGCCACUGGUUUUCUAGCUCCAACCCAUAAGACCAGAUGCCCAAAGUAUCGAGAAACAUGAUUUGAUUCGGAUUCGACUAAGACCAAAAUUUAGAAGCAAAUUCACAUUAAUAAAAAAAAUUAUGGAGACCAAGAAACUAGGAAAAAUCCAUAAGACUGCAUGGUUGUUGAUUGUGUCCUGAAACAACCACAAAACUAAGCCGGAACUUGCUGUUAAUUUCUUUAAGAGGUGAGGAGAGAGUAGAGUAGCAUGACAGGGGAAUAGGAUGGAGACUAGAAAUUUAGAUCGGAUUAAAUUCGGCACAAAUCAUUUACUUGUUACCUUGAAAGUAUUCAUGACAGUUAAAGAAUUGGUCGAAAAAGAUGUAUCCUAUUGCCUGCAAAGUCUUAUUAAUGAAUUUAGCAUAGUUGACAGAAGCACCAUGAACGUACCUGAAGUGACGUCUCAUUGAUUGGUUCCAGAGGCCCAUGGAAGAUCAUACCAAUUGGAAUGUAAACAUCUCCCAAGCAAACAGCACUUGUGUGCAAAAACUAGUACAUUUAUAUCUUAGACGGUUUAAGAGAUAAUCUGUGAGACUAUUAUAAAGAAUUUGUAUUUGUCUAUGAUUAAAAUAACUUCACCUGAAACAAAAGAGAUUAUGAUGUCAGGAAUAUGUUCAAAGAAGAUUUAAAGGUUCACCAUUAAUAGUGCAAAAGGAUAAGUAGACCUUAAAAGGAAACACUAAAAAGAACAAAAUUAGAUUUAAUGAUUCUUCAUUGACUAGUAAAAUUCUCUCAAUCGAACAAGUCAAUCACAAUAUAUUAAUGGCACUAGUUGGCGAUCUUGCUUCUUCAUCUACCUUAACUAAGUUUUAUUGAUCAUCUCUCUAUACAUGAACCUGAGAUCACAAACAUUUUUAUCAACCUAGAGGCCCAAAACGAUGUCAUUGUUUGAGUUGCUUAUGGAUCAUGCAAGGAAUUAGAUACAAUCUAGUCUGGAAGAUUGGCAAGGAAGGAGAUCAAUGCAUUAGGACCUGCUGCAAUCUAAAUUCUUAAACCUAGCUUAAUCUUGGUAGGUUAAAGAAUUACAUAAUUUUGGACCGAUCCACCUAUAGUUUCAAAAUGUGGAUCUACAUGCAACAUUGCAGGUUGGAUCAGAGUCAUGUUCUAGAUUAUAACAAGUUCAGAUAAAGAUUCAAGAAUUGUACCCUGAUAAGAUAAAGAGAUCCAAAACUAGGAUCUGUGCUUGAGAUUUCAGAUCAGGCUUCAGAACGUCAGGCUCCAUUAACAUCCUUGAUCCAAAUUCAGAAGUUGCCUCACAACCUCGUUCAAUCUACAUCCGUCAUGGAGAAAGGGGAAAGUUAGUGAGAUAUAACAUGAUCUUUCAUUUUGGGAAUCAAAAUGAAUUCAUCUCAUAAAAUUGCAUACAUGUAGGUAGAAUAAAUCUAUACUCAAACAAGAUCCUAAAGAUAGAUUUGCCUCCAUUGAGAUCCAAGAUUAAGAGAUCCAAAAGUAGGAUCUGUAGGCUUCAGAUUAUCAGGCACCAUCAACAUCCUUAAUCCAAAUUCAGAAGUUGCCUCACAUAUUCGGUAGAUCUACAUUUGUCGUGGAGAAAAGGGAAUGUUAGUGACAUAUAAAAUGCUCUUGCAUUUUGGGAAUCAAAUGAAUCCAUCUUAAAGAAAUUGCAUAUACGCAGGUAGAACAAAUAUAUUAUCAAACAAGAUCCUAAAGAUAGAUUUGCCUCAAUUGAGGAGUAUUACCACAUUGUUUUGCGAGAUUAAUACAGCUCCCUCCUCAUGAAGAUACUACUCACCGCCAUCGAGUUAAGAGCAGGAAAGAAGAGAAUUCUGUGGUAUGCAACUAAGACAAGGAUCCACAAUUGUUUAAUCUGUCUCGAUCAGAUGCUAUGCAUGUUCUCCUUGGUGAAUGGAGGAGGGAUCAUGUAGACCAAAAGAGAAAUUCUUGGUCCAUCAUAUCCAUGAUAGAUCAGUCCAAUCAAAAAAGGCAAUAAUUUUCUGAAAUAAUGGACUUAUUAAUUGAAUGUAAAGAAAUUUAGAGAUUUGACUUGUGUAGAGAAAAGGAAUUUCUGGUCUUAUAUUUAUCCCAACAAUCUAAAUUAAGAUCCAAGACACUAAUUUAAUCCAAUUCAGGUUAUCCCAAACAAUGUAAAGAUGACAUACUCAUUUCUUGACAAGGUUUGAUUUCCGUAUACCACAAAAACUCAUAACCUAACACACUUUGUGUAGAGAAAAGGAAUAUCUGGUCUUAUAUUUAUGCCAACAAUCUAAAUUAAGAUCUAAGACACUAAUUUAAUCCAUUCCAUAUUAUCCCAAACAUGUAAAGAUGACAUACUGAUUUCUUGACAAGGUUUGAUUUCCGUAUACCACCAAAAUUCAUAACCUAUCACACUAUGUGCAGAGAAAAGGAAUUUGUGGUCUUAUAUUUACACUAACAAUCUAAAUUAAGAUCUAAGACACUAAUUUAAUCCAUUCCAUGUUAUUCCAAACAUGUAAUCAUGACAUACUUAUUUCUUGACAAGGUUUGAUUUCCGUAUACCACCAAAACUCAUAACCUAACACGCCUUGAUCUAUUAAGACAAACAAGAUAUAGUUUAUGUGCCCACCUGAAAAUGAUGUGUUUGACAGAGUGAAUCUGUAUUGAUACGGAGCAAUGGCAUCAGUCAUUUCUUUCUUUCUCUCUUUCUCUCUGUUACUAUUUCUUUAACUGCGUCUGCAAUACUCCAAUCUCCUCCUUUUUUCGGUGACUUGCAAAAAUUCAGAUAUAUACAAUUAAUCGUUAGUUUCGAAGUUCUUUCAAUGUUAUAGCCAAAAGGUUAUACCUAUAGGAAGUGCGAUCGAUGACCGAAAAAGAGAAGAGGGGACGAAAGAGAACCAAACUCGAACCCACGGUGUACCAAAUCAUGAUCAUCACCAAAACAAACGAAUUCGGCAACAUGGUGAUCUCGGAUAUACCGGAUCGUAAGCAUUCCAAGAGUUCCAGGAGCUAAACCCAGAAAGGGUACCGAAGAACUACAAAAUCCCAGGCGGCGGUGAACAAGCGCAAACCACAGAUUGGAGCAGCUUUCACGACGAAGUGCUGCCAAUCCCCAUCUCUCUCCCUCGCCAAAGAUGCGACGAAACGAAAACCAAGAUCCACCCGAUCUCACUUCCCGACAACGCUCAAAGAAACCAAAACGAAUCGACCAACCACCACGCAUCAAGAAUCAAGAAACCACAACGCACAAGGAAACCAAAAAAUAAUCGAGAAGAAAGGGUCGAACCUGGGCGCUCCGACCCAGCUUCGACAAGGCACGAGAGUGUCCAACCUUCCUCCGGCAUCGAUCUUGGUUUUGGCUGGAUCCGGGUCCCGGGUGCCAUUGAAGGAGACACCCAUCGGCCCCCGCUUCCCUCCUCCUCCUCCUCCUCCGCCUUCUCUACCAGAACUAUGGAUCUACGCUGCGACGAUCGAAGACCUACACGCCCCGCUUGGGAUCCCAUCGGUCUCCCUUUCGACUCCCAAUUCGUCGUCUCACUUCUCUCCGUCCCAACCGCCUCGGUCACUUCUUUG
rnacentral:lncRNA from 1 species